CCGAAAUCAAGGGAAUGUUCGUCGUUUGAAGGACCAACGACUACUGCCGUGGUCUCGUUGUCGUCUUGGACGCAGUGACAAGUGUACACGGUGUUUCGUCGCUCCCCAUAAUUUCAGUACUAAGAAUUUCACGAGCUACAAUAUAGAAUGUCCAUACCAGUAUAUACCAGUUUAUACAUCUCUUCGAUGCGUACAAACGACAUUAAUCAAGGUGGCGUAAUGUACGUGCAGGAUGAGAACCUUUUCACCAUCGAAGUCGAUGCUAUUAACUCGUGACAGAUCUGCGUCGUUCUUCUCUUAAUUACGGCUAAUUAAUAUUUAUUUUUUAAGAUACAUUAUCUUCCAGUAUAUCACUCGAUUCCUGAAAGUGUGUUUUCUAUGGUGUAUUGUUCGUAAAUCGUGGCAAUGGUACUGAAAAAGAAAUAUUAGUGAAAA